rnacentral:rRNA from 1 species
CAGUAGCCGCGGGAAUACGUAGGUGACGAGCGUUGUCCGGAAUUAUUGGGCGUAAAGGGAGCGCAGGCGGUUGGAAUAGUCUGAUGUGAAAGCCCACGGCUUAACCGUGGAAGGUCAUUGGAAACUGUCCAACUUGAAUGCAGAAGAGGAAAGUGGAAUUCCAUGUGUAGCGGCGAAAUGCGUAGAUAUAUGGAGGAACACCAGUGGCGAAGGCGACUUUCUGGUCUGUAAUUGACGUUGAGGCUCGAAAGCGUGGGUAGCAAACAGGAUUAGAUACCCCCGUAGUCCCUGUCUCUUAUAC